rnacentral:lncRNA from 1 species
AUCCUUUCUUCUUAGGAAAGAAAAGAAAAAGAAAUAUCUGGUCAACUCCAAAAAAGAGACAUCAGAAAAAACGCUGUCCAAGAGAAAUCAGCCAUGAAACUUCAGAAAUGAAGGAAGGAAAGAGGCCCCAGAAGACGCCCAGCACACCAAGGACCACGCAUGAGGCAGCCUUACCUGGGCGUGGAAUCCAAAAGAAGCUCCAGGUGGUGAGUCAGGGGACUCAAAGGAAUGUGGUGAAAAGGGCCCGGAAUAUAAAGGCUGCAUGUGCCAAGACAUCCAUGCCAAAAGGUAAGGCCAACCAUGGAAUCUGACAUUUGGAUGGCUCAGUGUGGGAGGGUGUGUCCUGGAGCAGGUAUAGAGGUAGGUAGACAUGUAAACUCAGUAGCAGAAGGAGGGAAAAGAACAGAUGAGGGGAGC